CACGUAUUUAGCCGGUGCUUCUUCUUCAGGUACCGUCAUUCUUCUUCCCUGCUGACAGAGCUUUACAUACCGAAAUACUUCCUCGCUCACGCGGCGUCGCUGCAUCAGGGUUUCCCCCAUUGUGCAAUAUUCCCCACUGCUGCCUCCCGCAGGAGUCUGGGCCGUGGCCCAGUCCCAGUGUGGCCGUUCACCCUCUCAGGCCGGCUACUGAUCGCCGUCUUGGUAGGCCCGUUACCCUGCCAACCAACUAAUCAGACGCGGGGCCAUCCUGUACCACCGUGGUUUUUCACACCGUGCCAUGCGGCACUGUGCGCUUAUGCGGUAUUAGCAGCCGUUUCCGGCUGUUACUCCCCGGUACAGGGCAGGUUCCCCACGCGUUACUCACCCGUCCGCCACUCAGUCACUCCUCCCCUCCUACCGAAAAUUCGGGAAAAGCGCUUCGUCGACUUGCAUGUGUUAGCACGCCGCAGCGUUCAUCCUGAGCCAGGACUACAAACUCU
rnacentral:rRNA from 1 species